rnacentral:rRNA from 1 species
AUCGAACGCUGGCGGCAGGCCUAACACAUGCAAGUCGAGCGGAGCGGCGGACGGGUGAGUCAUGCCUCGGAAUCUGCCUGGUAGUGGGGGAUACCGUCUGGACACGGGCCCUAAUACCGCAUACUAUCAGAUGAGCCUCGGUCGGAUUAGCUAGUUGGUGGGGUAAAGGCCUACCAAGGCGCCGAUCCGUACCUGGUCUGAGAGGAUGAUCAGUCACACUGGAACUGAGACACGGACCAGAGUCCUACGGGAUGCAGCAGUGGGGAAUAUUGGGCAAUGGGCGAAAGUCUGAUCCAUCCAUGCCGCGUGUGUGAAGAAGGUCUUCGGAUUGUAAAACACUGUAGGUUGGGAAGCGUUACCUAAAGAAUAAGCCACGGCUAACUUCGUGCCAGCAGCCGCGGUAAUUC